GUUAGCUUAGUGGUAGAGCAUUUCACUUGUAAUGAAAAGGUCCCCAGUUCGAUCC
rnacentral:tRNA from 14 species